UCUUCAUGAAGCUUGAGUGCCAAGUGCCCCAAGUGUGACACCUCAAAUGGUUCACACAACACCAAAUACACUUGGAAUAACUUGAGAGAAUUCUACACUUCAUGAAAAUCGACUAGCCCUCUCUAGAAUGAUACUAGUCACCGAUUUUGUCAAGAAUAAGAUCUUUAUAUAGUGUUACAAUCAGGGUAAACCCUAAUUGUCAUGACUUUCCAUUUCCUUGGAUCCAUGGGUUCAAAUACACCAUGGAGCAUCCAUGGACCAUCCUAUGGGUUUUAGCCCAACUUGAUUAUCCAUGGAGCAUUAGCCCACUAUACAAGUAUGGAUGAUUUACACAAUCAACCCAUAUAUUUAAUUAGUCUUCUUUUGAUCACUUAAUUAAUCCUAGAUUAAUUCUUGAUCAAUACUAAUUAAAUAAUCUUAUUAUUCUUAUUAUUAAUAUACUAGAACUUAUNUGAUCACUUAAUUAAUCCUAGAUUAUUUCUUGAUCAAUACUAAUUAAAUAAUCUUAUUAUUCUUAUUAUUAAUAUACUAGAACUUAUAAUAUAUUAAUAACCAUAAGUGUCUUAUUUCUCUUAUUAUAGUCUAUCCAAGUGCAUGAUGGCAUGCAACCCAAAUGGACCAUGCCGGGUCGGGUCAAGUCUUACCAAUUAUAGUUAUGGACUUAGACAUUAAUCCAACAGUCUCCCACUUGGAUAAGUCUAAAACUAUUAUUGCGUAUGACUUCAGGAACCAACUGGCAAUCGUAGCUCUCAAAAGCUUCUGUCGAACUCUGACCUUGUAGAUGAACUCUGACCUUUGUCAAUGACUUGUCCAUUAGAUAAGGGAUCAUAUAUUCCUCCAUUCUAGAUAUCAUAUGGACUGAGACAUGGAUUAUAAUCAUUCUCUCUGUCCAUUUGUUGUUUCCCGAUUUCCGAUUUAUGACGACUGACUAAUUGAACAAAUCAAAUCAGUCCUGGCCCGGCCGAGCACUUCCAUUUGUCAUCAUCAAAUCAUCGAGGGGCCCACAGAUAUCGCUUUUAUCCCGAAGGUAAAAGGAAUGGAUAAACUUCGACUCAUAUGGCUUGUUCUACUACUUGUUGAAUCAUACACAAAGGCACGUUUUAUAGCACCGAGUUACCAAAUGCGUUUUCGUGCAAUCAAUGUACUAUCAACUCAUAGUAACAACUCAUAUCUCUAGGUUUGAAGAAUAUAAGAUAUUAUCGUCUCAUGAUCACUCGUGAUAAAAUCCAUGAAGUGAUUCCAAUGAGCGCGGGUUGAAUCCAAUACUCAGAACUUAUGAGCACUCAUGAGUGUUGUAGCCCUUUGUCCAACACCUUAGACCUCUACAAGCCAACCCAUGACAGUCUUAAUUCAUAUCUACUUCCAACAUAUGACCGACUGUGGAUGGUUUGAAUAACUUAGUCAUUCCGGAAGAAUAACCUAGUUUAUUCGGGAAGUCAAAACAUGCAAAGUGAAACACAAUAAUAAUUGAAUCCAAUAUGGUAUCAACCCUUUGAACAUAAAUAAAACACCUUUUAUUUAUCACCAUAUGAUUACACAUUAUUCAUUGUAUACUGUUUCAGCUAUCAACUUUAUUCUUGAAUUUAAAACAAUAGUUGUCCCAUGCUCCAAGCAUGUACACUAUGUUUUCUUAAACACUAGUCAUGCCACACACCAAGUAUGCAUACUAUGUUUGUCUAUGAUCUUUACUUUGUGAACUAGAUCAAUUGAACAUAACUUCAAUGAUUCUCUUUUCACACUCCCAAAUCCUUACUGCAAAUGCAAGAAUUCCAAAUUCAUGCCAUUUACUGAAAUCUGUUAGAUUCUAAACUUAUAUGCAUUGAUCCUCUUGUAAUGAUUAUGCACAAAGUCAGAAAGACUUGACAACAAUCAUUACAGAGUAUUCCAAAGGAGAUCAGCUCCUUGGAAACAUCCUUCUUGCAUUAAGUUUCCUAAUCUUAAACAGAUUGAAAAUUCUAACUUUGAAACAUUUCCAGAUUCCAUUUUGACUAUCACUUCUGAACAAGAGUUGCCUCCUUACAGAUUAUGUCAAUAUGGUCCUUCCAGAAUUAUCACUAUACUUCCAACUGUCCUUGAGCAACCAAUCUUUGGUAAACCUUAGAUUGUCCUCGACAAUUGUUUAAUCCUUUUAGUCAUAUCCAGUUCUAAACCUUUUCCCUUCUUAAUGCCCCAGGCAUUUGGAAAAUUUUAGAACGGAUGAAUAUAGCACAUGUAAUCGAUCCUAUAUCCGAAGCAUAUGGGACACGAUUCAUGAUGUCUCACAUAAAGACUAAACCAGUCUUUUGCUAUAACAUUUCCAUUUCAAUUUGCCAAGUUCUCAUAAUUCAGAUUAUGAAAAGGGAUGCCGUAAUCAUAAUCGAAUUUUAGAACGCAAAUAAUGGACCCAUAUACAGAAUUUCCUUAUGUUGAGCCAUUCCAACAUGAAAUUCAUAUAUAUCCUUGACUAAAUGAUUAAAACCUCACGAUCUAAGCUUAUAGAUUUGAGAUGAAGCAUAAUUUCCUCUCCCUUAAUUAUAGCAAAACAACUUUUUCCCAAUUGAAACUUUUGUUUUCUAUAAUUAACAUUGCUAACUUGCAAUACUUAUCAUAAUUAUCAUGCUCCCACUAACAUGAUGAUUAUUAGCAUAACACUUAUGCUCCCACUAGCUUUGACAUGUACUCAGAAAUCAGCUGGACUUCUAGAAAUCAAUACUUCAUUGACUUUCUUACCAAAGUUCAGAUUUCUGAUACUAGAUUGUUUUGAUAAAACUUUAUCAAAAUCAUACACCUUCCCUUAGAUAGCACACUUGUGUAUCUAAACAAUUAUGAAGAGGGAUGCCGUAAUCAUAAUGGUUAGACCUUUUUGCCACUUCUCACAAGUCCAGGUUAGUGUGCCGGUUAACCACACGCGCUCCACUAACGACUUUGAGAAUGCAAAUAUCACAAUUGCUAUCUAGCUAAAAUCUACUUAGUGAAAGUGUUUCCUCACCAUCAUUUUCAUGAAUCGGAGAGAAACCUUAUGACACUUAGAUUUAAUGGUGUAUGUGUUCUUAUCCAUGUGAAUUGUCAAAAUCAUAGUCACAAGACAAGGAUAAUGACAAAUCCAAACUCAUAUGGACUGAACUCAAUCUUAAUUUCUUGCCACCUGGCAGCUCAAGGGCCUACCAUUGCUUCCAAGUUGUUGUGCAACAAAUUGAGAACUCUAAGAACUCAUAUGCAAAGCCAACUUUAACUGGAAUGGGCACAGAAUAUGUCAACACGAUAGGUUAUAAACCUCAAGUCGUGUGCUAGUGAAGAACUUCAGGUUUUAUUCUUGAUUAGUUCUUGAGACUUUCAAGACCUUUAAGACUCCCACUGUCCUCUUGACAUAUAAGACUCCCUUGUCAAACAUCCAAGAGAUAGUGCGGAUUCUAAUCAAGAAAAACACUUUACCCAAUUGGCCUAAGUUGGUCUUUGUUUUAUCCAAAACAUCACAACUUACCAAUUUCAAAUGUACAAGAGUAGAAAACUUUUACUCUUACAUUUGACAAGUGUUUUAAACCUUCUUUAAGACAUGUCACUCAAAUGACAAUCUUGGAGUAUGACUCUAAGACUUGUAUUGGAACGAAGUAUGACUCAUCUUCUUGAUUUAACCAUUUCAACAAUUCAAGUUCCUCUUCUUAGUCAUAAGAAUGCACUAAGAUUUCCUUAGAGAACUAAUUUUGAUAUGGUUUCUUAAUCAUUAAGAUGAUCACAAAACUGAUACUAAAGUACUCUCCCAUCUUUUCAGAUUUGAGAAACUUUUAUCCUUCUGCCUAAUUUGAUUCUUCUUAUUCGCCCUGCCAUACAUUGGAACCUUUUCCAAUGUCUCAGAGUUACACUUAAGCUUGUAAGUAUAAUCAUAUUUACUGAGCUUUAGUAAACUAUGACGAAUAGUCUUAUCAAUCUUUUGUGGUGGACUUAAUCAGUGCACAAGAAUGUGUACUCGAUCCCUUAGUCCUUUACUUGACUCACACAUCCAUGUGGCCGAGUAAUUAGUCUUAAUUUUCCAAAACUUGAAAGUUCUCAUUCAUCAUGCUAUACAACUUGCAUGAUUCCAAGUUCCGGUCCAAUUGAAACUUGGGUGAUGAGAAUCUUUCCUUAUUUGGUAAAUCUAGACAUUACCACAAAUGAAAGAAUCAAUUUCAUAUUUCCACUCUUGCUCUUAAUGGAAUCAUAUAAGCAACAAUUUUUCCUCAAAAGCCAUUGUAAGGAUAUUUUAAAAUAAAUAAAAUCAAAAAAUUUUUCUUUUAUUUUAAAACUUUGCGGAAAAACUUAUCCUUACAAUCCAUAUGAAAACUUGUUGUUAUCUAUUCCUAAGCAAUAUCUCAUAACUCCUAAGAAGUUGCUCAAGAAUCCGAUCUUCAAACUAUGCGAUAGAAAUCCAUCUACGCCAUCAGAUUCAGCAUAUUCUUUCUUUAAGUUUCUUCACUUUUCUUUGAUUCUUAAAACAUCACCAUGUGACCCAGUCACAUCAUGUAUCAGGAAUCUCAGAAUAGAAACUUAACAGAGUUAGAUAGUGGACUUUACCUGAAGUAGAGUCAAACUUAUUGACUUUAACAUCCUUAGGUAAAUUUGGCAGCUUCGCAACCAAUGCCCCUUCCUUUGGCAAUAUAAACAUAUGGACCCUUUGAUAAUGGUACACGAGACUAUCACAGACUUAGCUUUUCUCUUUACCAUUUGGUCAACCGAGUUGACUAUGGCCGAUCCCUUUCCAUUGGGAAGAGAAUGCUUUACUGGAUAUCCAAUGUCAUCAUUGUCAAUGUCCAUAAAGUUUUAGGAAGUUGAUCUUAGCAAAUAGAUAAGAUCAUUAAGGGUCUUGUCAUAGUCUGUUUCAUAGGUGUCCCAAAGGAACUCACUAUGUGACUUAGAAAGUGAUUGAACCACCAACUUUCUCAAGACUUUGACACCCAACUCUCCCGGCUUGUCAAUAUGUGACUACAUCUCCAAGAUGUGAUCACACCUAGACCUUGCCUUGCCAAUAGGGCUUGAGUGACCUUAAACUUUUCAAGAACUUGUGGGUUAGGGAGAAUAAUUGGAGGAGGAGAAAGAAGUAUGAUAUCCAUGGGACAUCAUCUUCAUUAGGAAACCUUGUUUCAAGAGAUUUGGGAAGAUCAUAGGUGUCUAAACCAGACAUCUUUUGGGAGAUAUUCAAGAUAGUUGAUUUAAAGUCCUUAAUAUGACACCCAAUAUGAAAUAUUAAGGCUAGGACCCAACAAACUAUUUUAUAACUUAGAAGAGGUAUGCCGUAAUCCAAGCUAUAAAAUAUUUGAAGGUAGGUGAAUGACGAUUCACCAAUUUCCACCAAGAUAAACGAAAUGUAUUAUUAGGUUUUAAUUGGUUUUGAAACUCCUAGAUCUUUGAGAUUCAUUGAACUGUUCAAAGGCAUGUUUCAAUCUCGAGUGUGCCCUUCAGGUUUUGUGACUGGGAUGCCGAGGAUCACAAAACAAGGUGUGAAGUAACCAUGCAAAUCACUUGGUACCCUUAAUAAAUUACCCCUCAAUCGAUGUGCCGGUUAACCACACACGCUCCAUCGAUACUAUGAUAAAUAUUAAGUCACCCUUUACCUACCUUGUUAAGUCCAAGUUAGUGUGCCGGUUAACCACACACGCUCCACUAACGACUUAGACAAAGUGUAAAGUGUAAUUUCAUGGAUUAGCACCUUAUUCACAUUUUUCCUAAGUAACUAAGAUUGGGUAUUAUUAAGAGUUUAGUUACUUAGUAUUAUCAUUAAUACUUUUAAUGAAGGGAGAAUUCUAGUCCUGUCAAACCCGUUCGGCUAACGACCCUCCACCAGUCAAGCAAGCGGUGGGUGAGAGUGGACACCCAUUAAGUUGCCAUUUUAUAGGCAACAACCUUAUACCCACCUUAUAGACCGGCUUCGUGAAUGAGGCGUACUAGCGGUAAGACUGACUUUACUCUUAUACAUAUAUAUAUUAUUAACUUAUAAUAUUAUAAAGUAUAAGGGUUGAAUUUUAACUUUUAAAAUUCUAAGGGCUAACUUGGAAUUAAAGUAUUCAUAAGUGAAAACUUUACAAAUUCCAAAACUUGAGGGCAAGUUUUGAAACUAUUCAAAACUAAUUAAUUCCAUAACUUAUGUGUUUAAAGUAGUUUUAAUCCAAAAACUCUUCAAGUUCCAUAACUUGAGGACAAGUUAUGGAAGACUUUAAACUAAUAAAAGAAUUAACUUUUCUUUAUUUUAUAACUUAUGGAAUUAAUUAAGGUUACACUUUUUUUUUUUUUAUUUUAUUUUAUUAAAUGAAGAGACUCUUGGUCCUCCAUAACUUGAGGACAAGUUAUGGAGUCAUAAAACCAUUUAAUUAGAACUAGACUCUUCAUUUUUGUAACCUUUGCCAAUUUUUAUGAGUUUUAUGAUUCUUAAAUGUGACUUUUCAUAUAACUUGAGGACAAGUUACAAAAACACAUUUUAGAAUCAAUUCUUAGAUUAAUUUGGAUUAAAACCAACUAUCACAUAAUUUUAUUCAUUAAUCUAAAUUCACUCAUAAAACAAGGUAACACAAAAAACUUUUGGUGAUCCAUAACUUAUUCUUAAGUUAUGGAAUCCUUUAAAACAUUAACACCAAAUUUUGUAACUCCAAAAAAACUUUGAAUCAAUUUUUUUUUUAAAACCUUUUCAUAUCCAUAACUUAUGGAGGUUUCAAAAAAUAAAACUCUUUAGAUCAAACUUUUAAAACUAAUAAAAUAAUCAUAUUAUUUUAUCUUUUAUUAAAUUUGACCUAAUUCAACUCAUAAAGCAAAUUAUUCAAAUUUUACAAAUAAUUAGUUUUUCACAAGAACAAGUAAUUAUCUUAAAAUUUGACAAACUUCAUGUUUUUUUUUUUUUUUUUUUUCAACUUUGAAAAUAAAAUAUUUGCAUCAAUAUAACAGAAAACAACCCGUGGCUCUGAUACCACUGUUGGGUUUUGAGCAUUCUAACACUUCCUAAGUGUACAUGCAACCCUAAAUACCUUGGAUCUAUGUUUUCUCUAUUAUACAUGCAAAUAAGAACUUCCAAGGUAUUAUCCUAAUCUAGCAUACAAAACAAUAACUUAACAAGAUAGAAUACAUACCUCUUGAUGUAGAAAGUCUUCAUGAAGCUUGAGUGCCAAGUGCCCCAAGUGUGACACCUCAAAUGGUUCACACAACACCAAAUACACUUGGAAUAACUUGAGAGAAUUCUACACUUCAUGAAAAUCGACUAGCCCUCUCUAGAAUGAUACUAGUCACCGAUUUUGUCAAGAAUAAGAUCUUUAUAUAGUGUUACAAUCAGGGUAAACCCUAAUUGUCAUGACUUUCCAUUUCCUUGGACCCAUGGGUUCAAAUACACCAUGGAGCAUCCAUGGACCAUCCUAUGGGUUUUAGCCCAACUUGAUUAUCCAUGGAGCAUUAGCCCACUAUACAAGUAUGAAUGAUUUACACAAUCAACCCAUAUAUUUAAUUAGUCUUCUUUUGAUCACUUAAUUAAUCCUAGAUUAAUUCUUGAUCAAUACUAAUUAAAUAAUCUUAUUAUUCUUAUUAUUAAUAUACUAGAACUUAUAAUAUAUUAAUAACCAUAACUGUCUUAUUUCUCUUAUUAUAGUC
rnacentral:lncRNA from 1 species